AGCAGUCGCCGCGGGAAUACGUAGGUGGCGAGCGUUGUCCGGAUUUAUUGGGCGUAAAGGGAGUGUAGGCGGUCUUUUAAGUCUGAUGUGAAAGCCCACGGCUCAACCGUGGAGGGUCAUUGGAAACUGGGAGACUUGAGUGCAGAAGAGGAGAACGGAAUUCCAUGUGUAGCGGUGAAAUGCGUAGAUAUAUGGAGGAACACCGGUGGCGAAAGCGGCUCUCUGGUCUGUCACUGACGCUGAGGCUCGAAAGCGUGGGUAGCGAACAGGAUUAGAUACCCGCGUAGUCCCUGUCUCUUAUAC
rnacentral:rRNA from 1 species